rnacentral:rRNA from 1 species
UUGAUCCUGCCGGAGGUUACUGCUAUCGAGGUUCGACUAAGCCAUGCGAGUCGAAUGUAGCAAUACAUGGCGUACUGCUCAGUAACACGUGGACAACCUACCCUUAGGUCGGGGAUAAACCCGGGAAACUGGGUAUAAUACCCGAUAGAUCUCGGCUGCUGGAAUGCAUCGAGCUCUAAAGCUCCGGCGCCUAAGGAUGGGUCUGCGGCCUAUCAGGUAGUAGUGGGUGUAGCGUACCUACUAGCCUACGACGGGUACGGGUUGUGAGAGCAAGAGCCCGGAGAUGGAUUCUGAGACACGAAUCCAGGCCCUACGGGGUGCAGCAGGCGCGAAAACUUUACAAUGCUGGAAACAGCGAUAAGGGGACCUCGAGUGCCAGGUUACAAAUCUGGCUGUCGUGAUGCCUAAAAAGCAUUGCAUAGCAAGGGCCGGGCAAGACCGGUGCCAGCCGCCGCGGUAACACCGGCGGCUCGAGUGGUAACCGUUAUUAUUGGGUCUAAAGGGUCUGUAGCCGGCCGGAUAAGUCUCUUGGGAAAUCCAGCAGCUUAACUGUUGGGCUUUCAGGAGAUACUGUCUGGCUCGAGGCCGGGAGAGGUGAGAGGUACUUCAGGGGUAGGGGUGAAAUCUUGUAAUCCUUGAAGGACCACCAGUGGCGAAGGCGUCUCACCAGAACGGACCUGACGGCAAGGGACGAAAGCUAGGGGCACGAACCGGAUUAGAUACC